GGCGGGGCUGUGAGUGGCGGCCUCUCUGCCCGGCAGAUUUGUCUGCUCUGGAGGGAGAAGGGCGGGUAGGAGGGAGGAGGCCGCUGCUGCUGCUGCAAGAUGGCGGCGCAGAGGAGGAGUCUGCUGCAGAGUGAACAGCAGCCCAGCUGGACAGAUGACCUACCAUCCUGCCAUCUCUCUGGGGUGGGCUCGGCUCCAAACCGUUCUUACAGUGCAGAUGGCAAAGGUACAGAGGGUCACCCCUUGGAAGAUAACUGGUUGAAAUUCAGGAGUGAGAACAACUGCUACCUCUAUGGUGUCUUCAAUGGCUACGAUGGCAACCGAGUCACCAACUUUGUGGGCCAGAGGCUGUCUGCAGAACUGCUGCUGGGCCAGCUGCAUGCAGAUCACAGUGAUGCUGAUGUUCGCCGAGUUCUGCUGCAGGCUUUUGAUGUGGUAGAAAGAAGUUUCCUGGAGUCCAUUGAUGAUGCUUUGGCAGAAAAGGCCAGCCUGCAGUCCCAGCUGCCAGAGGGUGUUCCUCAUCACCAGCUGCCUCCUCAAUACCAGAAGAUCGUGGAGAGAUUGAAAGUUGUAGAGCAGGAGAUCUCUGGAGGAGCCAUGGCCAUCGUGGCUGUUGUUCUCAACAAUAAGCUCUAUAUCGCCAAUGUUGGUACCAAUCGUGCACUAUUGUGUAAGUCCACAGUGGAUGGACUGCAGGUGACUCAGCUAAAUGUGGACCAUACGACAGAGAAUGAGGAUGAACUUUUUCGCUUCUCUCAGCUGGGCUUGGAUGCAGGGAAGAUAAAACAAGUGGGAACCAUCCGUGGGCAGGAAAGCACUCGGCGCAUUGGAGACUACAAAGUCAAAUAUGGCUACACUGAUAUUGAACUGCUCAGUGCUGCUAAAUCUAAGCCUAUUAUAGCAGAGCCUGAAAUCCAUGGAGGGCACUCGCUGGAUGGAGUGACUGGCUUCUUGGUGCUUAUGUCUGAAGGCCUCUACAAAGCUCUGGAGGCAGCUCAUGGGCCUGGGCAGGCCAACCAGGAAAUUGCAGCCAUGAUAGCCACAGAGUUUGCCAAGCAGACAUCGCUGGAUGCUGUGGCCCAGGCUGUAGUUGACCGGGUGAAACGGAUCCACUGUGACACUUUUGCCAGUGGUGGGGAACGGUCCAAGUUCUGUCCCCGACAUGAAGACAUGACCCUACUUGUGAGGAAUUUUGGCUAUCCCUUGGGUGAGAUGAGUCAGCCCACGCUAACACCAACACAAGGGGGCCGUGUCUACCCCGUCUCUGUGCCGUAUUCCAGCUCCCAAAGCACGAGCAAAAUGAGUGUCACACUGUCUCUCGUCAUGCCUUCCCAAGGCCAGAUGGUCAAUGGUGCCCACAGCAGCUCAACUCUGGAUGAAGCCACCCCCACCCUCACUAAGUAAAUAUGCUGCUCUCUUGAUACCCGCAGUCCCCUGCAGCUCACGCUGUGUGAAGUGGUUGAAAAGCAGAGACACACCUGUCACUCAUUCCCUUAUCUGCAGCGUGGCCCUCCUGACUGCAGUAUUGACAGCCAGUCCAAAGCCCCACUGUGACUCUCCAGUCCACUAACACUCACACGCAGAGUAGCAGCUCAAGUUCGGACGGGGGUCUCUUCCGCUCCCGCCCUACCCACUCGCUCCAGCCAGAUGAAGAUGGGCGUGUGGAGCCCUACGUGGACUUUGCAGAGUUUUACCGGCUUUGGAACAUGGACCAUGGUGAGCAGGGAGCACUGACUGUAUCCUAACCUGGAAAUGUGCCUCUUCCACCCACCCGGUGCUCGGCUGCGCGAGAAAGGACUGAGGAGGGAGCAACAGCGCUCCAGCUCUAUUCUGUGUUCCGCCAAGAGUUAACUCCUAUGCGGGAUGUGCUGAACACUGGGCUGGGGAGCUGCGCUCUUGUCAUACGCAUUGCCUGCGCAAUGCGCCUAAUCCUGACCGACCUCUUUCCCGUGGAAGCCCAGUGAACGUGGAAAGGGGUCUCGAAUGCAACCCUCACUGCAGGUUUCUACAAAUAAAGUUGCAGAGAGGGCUCCCUCCUGGAUAAUGCAAGAGUAGAGGCCUGUACAAAGGCUGUGUGUGCGUGUGUAGGUGUACAUGUGUGCCUGCGUGUGCGUGUGCUGUCAAAAUGUUUCCACAAUUCAUAAUGCUGUGAUUCCAGUGUUCAACUCCAUAGAAGAUACCUCUAUUUUGCAGAAUAAAUAACUUAUAGCUACACUCA